CAACCUCUUCAGGCUGUCUGGCCCCCAGGCCGACUGGACCAGUGUCUCUUUGAAAGGCUCAACCUUAAGCACAUCUAGGAGC
rnacentral:pre_miRNA from 3 species